GCAAAUCUGGUUGAGGAGUUGCGUGCAUCUUCUUCGUCAGAUCAAAUAGAUCGAUCGAUAGUAUGGAAACAUGCACGGUUGGAUCGUAAGGGAGAGUUCCCAGAUAAAGAGACGAUGGACGUUGCCAAUCUCAUUGACGAUCUAAUGGGCAACCAGAAGGGACGUA